UGGACGUCGAGCGGCGGACGGGUGAGUAACGGCUGGGAACCUGCCCUGACGAGGGGGAUAACCGUUGGAAACGACGGCUAAUACCGCAUAAUGUCUUAGUUCAUUACGAGCUGGGACCAAAGGUGGCCUCUACAUGUAAGCUAUCGCGUUAGGAUGGGCCCAGUUAGGAUUAGCUAGUUGGUAAGGUAACGGCUUACCAAGGCGACGAUCCUUAGCUGGUUUGAGAGGAUGAUCAGCCACACUGGGACUGAGACACGGCCCAGACUCCUACGGGAGGCAGCAGUGGGGAAUAUUGCACAAUGGGGGAGACCCUGAUGCAGCCAUGCCGCGUGUGUGAAGAAGGCCUUCGGGUUGUAAAGCACUUUCAGCAGUGAGGAAGGUAGUGUACUUAAUACGUGCAUUGCUUGACGUUAGCUGCAGAAGAAGCACCGGCUAACUCCGUGCCAGCAGCCGCGGUAAUACGGAGGGUGCGAGCGUUAAUCGGAAUUACUGGGCGUAAAGCGCAUGCAGGCGGUUUGUUAAGUCAGAUGUGAAAGCCCGGGGCUCAACCUCGGAACCGCAUUUGAAACUGGCAGGCUAGAGUCUUGUAGAGGGGGGUAGAAUUUCAGGUGUAGCGGUGAAAUGCGUAGAGAUCUGAAGGAAUACCAGUGGCGAAGGCGGCCCCCUGGACAAAGACUGACGCUCAGAUGCGAAAGCGUGGGUAGCAAACAGGAUUAGAUACCCUGGUAGUCCACGCCGUAAACGAUGUCUACUUGGAGGCUGAGGUUUAAGACUUUGGCUUUCGGAGCUAACGCAUUAAGUAGACCGCCUGGGGAGUACGGCCGCAAGGUUAAAACUCAAAUGAAUUGACGGGGGCCCGCACAAGCGGUGGAGCAUGUGGUUUAAUUCGAUGCAACGCGAAGAACCUUACCUACUCUUGACAUCCAGCGAAUCCUUUAGAGAUAGAGGAGUGCCUUCGGG
rnacentral:rRNA from 1 species